rnacentral:rRNA from 5 species
UCAACUUGUGAACUGCAGGACACAUGAACAUCGACAUUUUGAACGCACAUUGCGGUCCUCGGAUACUGUUCCUGGACCACACCUGGCUGAGGGUCGUC